CCUACGGGAGGCAGCAGUGGGGAAUAUUGCACAAUGGGCGGAAGCCUGAUGCAGCGACGCCGCGUGAGGGAUGACGGCCUUCGGGUUGUAAACCUCUUUCAGCACGGAAGAAGCGAAAGUGACGGUACGUGCAGAAGAAGCGCCGGCUAACUACGUGCCAGCAGCCGCGGUAAUACGUAGGGCGCAAGCGUUGUCCGGAAUUAUUGGGCGUAAAGAGCUCGUAGGCGGUUUGUCGCGUCUGCUGUGAAAGCCCGGGGCUUAACCCCGGGUGUGCAGUGGGUACGGGCAGACUUGAGUGCAGUAGGGGAGACUGGAAUUCCUGGUGUAGCGGUGAAAUGCGCAGAUAUCAGGAGGAACACCGAUGGCGAAGGCAGGUCUCUGGGCUGUUACUGACGCUGAGGAGCGAAAGCAUGGGGAGCGAACAGGAUUAGAUACCCUGGUAGUCCAUGCCGUAAACGUUGGGCACUAGGUGUGGGGAACAUUCCACGUUUUCCGCGCCGUAGCUAACGCAUUAAGUGCCCCGCCUGGGGAGUACGGCCGCAAGGCUAAAACUCAAAUGAAUUGACGGAAGCCG
rnacentral:rRNA from 1 species